rnacentral:rRNA from 1 species
CCUACGGGAGGCAGCAGUGAGGAAUAUUGGUCAAUGGGCUUACGCCUGAACCAGCCAAGUCGCGUGAGGGAAGACUGCCCUAUGGGUUGUAAACCUCUUUUGUCAGGGAGCAAUUGGCGCUACGUGUAGCGUUAUCGAGAGUACCUGAAGAAAAAGCAUCGGCUAACUCCGUCCCAGCAGCCGCGGUAAUACGGAGGAUGCGAGCGUUAUCCGGAUUUAUGGGGGUAAAAGGGUGCGUAGGCGGAAUGCCAAGUCAGCGGUAAAAUCGCGGGGCUCAACCUCGCUCCGCCGUUGAAACUGGGGUUCUAGAGUGGGCGAGAAGUAUGCGGAAUGCGUGGUGUAGCGGUGAAAUGCAUAGAUAUCACGCAGAACUCCGAUUGCGAAGGCGGCAUACCGGCGCCCAACUGACGCUGAAGCACGAAAGCGUGGGUAUCGAACAGGAUUAGAUACCCGGGUAGUC